GUGUCCGGCCUCUCGGCGCGCUUCCAGCGCCGCGCCCCCCACACCCGCAGCCCGCCGCGCCUCCGUCCUCCCGAGGCCGCGGGAGAUGACGGGGGAUCACCCGGAGGAGUCGGGAGCCGGGCGAACGGGGACUGGCGCGGCCGUCCGUUAUUCCGCACUCAUCCCCCGCGCUGGCCAUGGGCCCUGCCCGGGUACCGCUGCGGCGACCGUCCGUCCCUUCACCCCGCAGUGUGUCGCUGCCUCCCCUGCAGGGCAUCGCGGCAGACAGCCCGAGCUCGAACGGUUGGGACGCUGCCCAAGCCGGCCAGAGGACUGACUGCAUCAGACACCGCUGUCGCUAUAGCCCGCACGGGCCAGCGGCUCUGCGUCCGCAGAAGGAUACCUCCUGGAACCCAGUGUCUUCUCAGUCUGUUGGUUAUUCAAUUCUCCAGUAACUCUUAUCCUCAAAGGGCACACUCCGGUCUACUACAGAGAUCAGGAAACCUUGAGGAAAGAGGAGGGGAAAAAUCAGGAAGAAGAAAAAAUGGCGAACAUUAAACACUAGUAACAACAAUACAGAUGUGAUGGUUUGAAUCUGAAAUGACUGCCAUAGGAUCAUGUCUUGAAUACUGGAUCACCAGGUUUGUGGACUAUUGUUCUGAAGGAGUGUUUACGAGAUUGGCUUGACUUAACGGAAAUAGGUCUCUGGACUAGGACCCUGAUUUCUGUCUGGUGUCUGUGCUUCCUGCCAGUGGCCGCUGUCACUCACUCCUGGUCACUUUGCAUCCUCAGCCAUGCCCUCUCCACCGUGAUGGAUGGUGACCCUCUGAAACAGUGACAAAAGUCUUUGCUGUCAGGAGUUUUGCCAGAGUGGCCAUAGAAAUAGAUAUGCAAUGCAUCGAUGUGUCAGCCACAAUGUUCAAUGCUUUAUUGCUUUAAAAUAUGUAUCUUUAAGUUUAUAAAUAAACAUGAUUUUAUAACCAUA